GACGAACGCUGGCGGCGUGCUUAACACAUGCAAGUCGAACGGAAAGGCCCUGCUUUUGUGGGGUGCUCGAGUGGCGAACGGGUGAGUAACACGUGAGUAACCUGCCCUUGACUUUGGGAUAACUUCAGGAAACUGGGGCUAAUACCGGAUAGGAGCUCCUGCUGCAUGGUGGGGGUUGGAAAGUUUCGGCGGUUGGGGAUGGACUCGCGGCUUAUCAGCUUGUUGGUGGGGUAGUGGCUUACCAAGGCUUUGACGGGUAGCCGGCCUGAGAGGGUGACCGGGGUCAUUGGGACUGAGAGACGGACCAGACUCCUACGGGAGGCAGCAGUGGGGAAUAUGGCACAAUGGGCGGAAGCCUGAUGCAGAAACGCCGCGGGCGGGAUGACGGCCUUCGGGUUGUAAACCGCUUUCGCCUGUGACGAAGCGUGAGUGACGGUAAUGGAUAAAGAAGCACCGGCUAACUACGUG
rnacentral:rRNA from 1 species